rnacentral:lncRNA from 1 species
GAAGUAAUUACCAUUAAUUUGUAUGGGGAAAAUUUUUGAGCAUUCCCAGACCCAAAAAGUAAACUCACAUCAUACCAAAUAGUACACAAAACCUAAAAUAAUACUAACAUAUAGUAAAAAUGGGAAUGAUAUGAUAAAUAUAUAACCUGUAUAAAAUGGAAAUAAUAUAUGUAUACUGUACACAGUGCUACUUAUUUUUUCAAUUAAACUGUCAUAUGGUGUAUAUGGUGGCAGCAAUUUUUAGAGACCAUCGAAAAUUGAUCAAUACCUAUGAUGAGGUCAAUUAGAACAUUGAAAGAUGAGGUUCAGUGCUCUGGAAUUCAAUUCCUCAUGAAAAUUGAAGAUGUGGAAUCUGAAAUUGAACCCACAUUCUCCAAGAUAGUAAACUACUGCAUUCCAUGUAGCCAUCCAACUGAUUUCUUUUUUUGUAAAAUCAAAAAUCCUCUUCAAAUUUAUUUCAUAACAAUUAUUCAGCUCUUGUAACAGGAAAUAAUUUUAUUACUAAAACGUUUUUGAAUUUUGAGGUCCUUAUUAGUACAUAAACUUUUUUCAUGCAGAUGUUUUGGAACAG